rnacentral:rRNA from 1 species
CUACGUGCCAGCAGCCGCGGUAAUACGGAAGGUCCGGGCGUUAUCCGGAAUUAUUGGGUUUAAAGGGAGCGCAGGCGGGAGUAUAAGUCAGCUGUUAAAUAUCAGGGCCCAACUCUGUUAUGCAGUUGAAACUAUAUUUCUUGAGUACGCACAGGGAUGGCGGAAUUCAGGGUGUAGCGGUGAAAUGCUUAGAUAUCCUGAAGAACUCCGAUCGCGAAGGCAGCCAUCCGGAGCGUAACUGACGCUGAGGCUCGAAGGUGCGGGUAUCGAACAGGAUUAGAUACCCUGGUAGUCCGCACGGUAAACGAUGAAUACUCGCAGUUCGGCCUUUUAGGUCGAGUUGUCCAGCGAAAGCGUUAAGUAUUCCACCUGGGGAGUACGCCGGCAACGGUGAAACUCAAAGGAAUUGACGGGGGCCCGCACAAGCGGAGGAACAUGUGGUUUAAUUCGAUGAUACGCGAGGAACCUUACCCGGGCUUGAAC